UGGGGAAUCUUGCACAAUGGGGGCAACCCUGAUGCAGCGACGCCGCGUGAGCGAUGAAGCCCUUCGGGGUGUAAAGCUCUUUCGGCAGGGAAGAUGAUGACGGUACCUGCAGAAGCAGCUGCGGCUAACUACGUGCCAGCAGCCGCGGUAAUACGUAGGCAGCGAGCGUUGUUCGGAGUUACUGGGCGUAAAGGGUGUGUAGGCGGUUCUUUAAGUUUGGUGUGAAAUCUCCCGGCUCAACCGGGAGGGUGCGCCGAAUACUGAGGGACUAGAGUGCGGGAGAGGAAAGUGGAAUUCCUGGUGUAGCGGUGAAAUGCGUAGAUAUCAGGAGGAACACCGGUGGUGUAGACGGCUUUCUGGACCGUAACUGACGCUGAGACACGAAAGCGUGGGUAGCAAACAGGAUUAGAUACCCCGUAGUC
rnacentral:rRNA from 1 species